rnacentral:rRNA from 1 species
GACGAACGCUGGCGGCGUGCUUAACACAUGCAAGUCGAGCGGUAAGGCCCUUUCGGGGGUACACGAGCGGCGAACGGGUGAGUAACACGUGGGUGACCUGCCUCUAGCUCUGGGAUAAGCCCGGGAAACUGGGUCUAAUACUGGAUAUGACUCCAUGACGCAUGUUGUGGGGUGGAAAGCCUUGUGCGGCUAGAGAUGGGCCCGCGGCCUAUCAGCUUGUUGGUGGGGGA